rnacentral:lncRNA from 1 species
CUAGCUAGCUACUCUCUAGUUACCUAUUUAUCUAUUUAUAAAUGAUAGGUAGGUAGAUGAGAGAGAGGGAGAGAGCUAACAGAGAGAGAGAGAUAUUUUGAACUCAAGGAACAUUUUUUAUUGAUCUUUGAUUUUCUUCACAACACCAAACAUGGUGCCACGUCCAUAUUAUGCAUUUCACUAAAUAUGUACUGAACGCAAUUGAACUAGGGGAAGGAAAUUCAGCUGUUGGAGCAGCGAGGGAGGGGAAACCUGGGAAUAGGAACUGAAAGGUGGUUUCUGAGAUUAGCUAAGUACGCAAAGUGGUUGUAGAGAUGGGACCUAACCAUCUGAAGACUUAUAACCAUUUGUUCGGGUUAUAUACCACUGCAUUAUCACAGACCACUUCAACUUUGUGGGCAAAAAGCAACAAUUUCAUAUUUUGGACUGUAUGGCUUAAUUUCUUGUGUUUGAGACCUGAGGUGACUAUAGCUCUGUUUAUUAUAUGAGUAACACAAAACAAGGAGACCUGCUGGAUUUUCAACUAGGUCAGGGAAAAACUUUCCCCAUUGGACAGCAUUUAAAGGGACAGAGGGAGGCAGAAAAUAUGCCACUAGUCUUUCUGUCAGACAUUGAUUUUACUCCUCUGUGGUGCAGGGAGUUCAU